rnacentral:misc_RNA from 1 species
AACUGUUCGAUUGUCAUGUGUUUUCGGAUGGGGGGGGGGGGGGGCGAAAGUUAAGUAGCGAAUAAAUUGGACACUCAAAUUUUUUCGAUGUUUUCUUGGAAUAAUAUCAGAUGUCGAAAUCGUUGUUUACCUUGCGCGACAAAUAUCAACAUUGUUGAAAAAAUGUCAGGAAAACAACAGUUAUUUCGGAACCAAAAUAAAUUCAUCUUAUUUUGUCGCUUAUUAAUUUAUAGAUCGCCAAUGCUCUGGCAAGAAGCUGUAAGGCUGGAAUUACUCAAGAGGAAUUAGCGAAUGAAGUUUACUUCAUUGCAGGCCAUGGUAAUCUCAAAUAUACAAAUGACAAACUCCCAUCUGUGUGUGUAAACAGGAGAAAACUGCAAGAAUUGAUGCAAUUAUCAAAACCAGAUUUGGAAAAUGUUGUGUUUGAUAAGAAUCCAGAGUUUGAAAAUGUAAUGUCUGAUCACAAAGGACAGGAAAUCCAUUUUAUGGUGAACCCUCAGAAGUUUAUGCAAGAGGUGCUAAAGGAAGUGUGUAGGAGAAGGGAUCAGUAUGGUAAAACAGAAAACAAAGGCAGCAAAAAGCUGAAGAUUCUCGUGGAUUUCAGUUCCCCAAAUAUUGCAAAAGAGUUCCAUGAGGGUCACCUACGUUCGACUGUGAUUGGGAAUUCCCUGUGUAAUCUAUACCAAGCUGCGGGGCAUGACGUUGUGAGAGUCAACUACCUGGGAGACUGGGGAACACAGUUUGGUGUUUUAUUGAGCGGAUAUGAGAGAUUUGGUGACGAAACCUUACUGGAAAGUAAUGCUCUGGCUCAUUUGAGUGAAGUGUAUGUUAGAGCCAAUAAGGAGAUAAAAAAUGACCCCACUUUAACAGCAAGGGCCUCUGAAAUCAACAGACACUUAGAACAAGGAAACCAGGAGUAUCUGAAACUGUGGCAGAAGUUCCGGGAAAUAAGCAUUUCAGAGUAUAAGAAGCUGUAUAAAAUGCUUGGAGUGGAGUUUGAUGUGUAUGAGGGGGAGUCCAUGUACUACAACAAGAGUAGCGAGGUCAUAAACCGUCUGGAGGAAAAAGGCUGCAUUGAAAGACCUGACUCCACCGACCUUGUCCUGGCAGUGUACCAGUGUCCAAAGACUGGCAGCAGGAGGGAGGUGGUGCUUCAGAAGCAGGACGGAACCUCUCUGUACAUCACAAGAGAUAUAGUAGGUGCACUUGAAAGAAAGAAACGAUAUGGAAUGGAUGCCCUGCAGUAUGUGGUUGAUCAGAGACAAGAUGGGCACUUCACAAACCUCUUGAAUUUGUUGAACAUAAUGGAGCCCUCACAGUCUUGGAGUAAAGGUGUUGACUUUUACCGGUCGUUUGGACAAAUUGAGGGCCUCAGUACUAGAGAAGGAAAAGUGUUACUGUUGAGAGAUAUUAUUGAGGACUUAUCCAAUGCCAUGUUAGAAUCUAUGCAGCAUCAUGACCACAAGUACUCCAAAGAAGACUGCGACCCUGCAGAACUCCAACAACGAGCCCUGACUAUGGCCAUCAGUCAUCUCAUCUACACAGAUCUCCGAUCCAAUCACAAUAGGCCUUACAAGUGGAAGGCGGAGUUAGAGAACGUGCGAAGCUGGAAGCGGCGGAAGGGAAAUGUCAUACCAGUACAGUACUGUCAUGCUAGACUUUGUCAAUUGUUAGAAAAUUCAGCAUUGGAGCUAACCGUUAACCCUGAUGUUAGUAUGGAACAUUUGAUUUCCAGCGAUCAAACUUCGGUGUCAGCACUUCCAUUACAACUUGUAUCGCAGAUAGCGAGGUUGGAAGAAGUUAUUCAUGAAGGAGUGAAUCAAAGUCAGUCCUACUGCAUCCACCAUUACAUAGAACACCUAGUUGCACUCAUAGGAAAGGCGUACAAGAAUUACAUAGUAAAUGACAAAAGUUUAACACUGGAAGAGAUGGAGGCUCGGUAUCUGUUGUUCUUCUGUGCCAGACAGACACUUUCUAAUGCUCUCAAACUUCUGGGAAUUCCUCCAAUGAAAAAAGUUUGACUUGGAGAGAGAGAAAGAGAGAGAGAGGAGUGAGAGAGAGAGAGAGAGAGAUUUUCAUUUGAAUAAAUUGUAAAAUUCUU